CCUACGGGAGGCAGCAGUGGGGAAUAUUGCACAAUGGGGGAAACCCUGAUUCAGCAACGCCGCGUCAGAGAUGAAGGCCUUCGGGUCGUAGAGCUCUGUCCUAAGGGAAGAAUACUGACGCUUCCUUAGGAGGAAGCCCCGGCUAACUACGUGCCAGCAGCCGCGGUAAUACGUAGGGGUCUAGCGUUAUCCGGAAUUACUGGGCGUAAAGGGUGCGUAGGGGGCCCUUCAAGUCACAGGUGAAAGGCUACGGCUCAACCGUAGUAAGCCUUUGAAACUGUAGGGCUUUAGUGCAGGAGAGUAGUGGGCAAUGUCAGUUGUGUCUGAGAAAUACGUAGGUAAUUCGGUCGACACAAGUUGCGAAGGCGGUUGUAUGGACUAGAACAUACGCUGAUACACGAAAGCGUGGCGAGAGAACAGGUUUAGAGACAUGUGUUGUC
rnacentral:rRNA from 1 species